rnacentral:lncRNA from 1 species
UUUAUUGUAAGCUGCUCCUAAGCUUUUAAGCACGGAGUUAGUUUGUGUGAUUCACUCAUAAGCUUUUAAGCAAGAGUGUUGUCUAGUUUCUAGGAGAGUGUCUCCAUCCUUAUCAUUAUUAUUGACAGCAACAUAGUACGUGUUGUUAGAGGGAAUUUGGGACGGGGUCUCAUUAUGUAAGAGGUUCUUAGAUAGGAUUGCAC